GGGAGUAGGUGGGCAGCUGACGGUGAAGCCCUAAGUGCUUCCCUUUUGGGGUAAAGCACUUUCUAAAAGGGCUUUGCUGAGGAAAGUCCUCCCUCGCUCUGGACCGGGGAUCCGCGCAAGCGGAAGGGGUGAGAGUCCCUGCAGAGUCGCAGAAACGACACAGCCAGCAGAUAAUGCAAUGAUGUGUUUUGGCACUGAGGUCUCUGCUGGAUUUGGUGAAACGGGCAUCUGCCCCCGGAGCAAGCCCAAACAGCGGGAUUGGUUGUCCAGACCGCUCGCGGGUAGGGCGCAUAGUAGAAUGCUGCCUAAAACAGAAGGAGGCUUACGGCCUACACCC
rnacentral:RNase_P_RNA from 1 species